rnacentral:rRNA from 1 species
UCCGGUGAUGAUGUCUUGAAGGUAACACCCGUUCCCAUGCCGAACACGAAGGUUAAGCUUCAAAGAGCCCAUGGUACUACAAAGGAGACUUUGUGGGAGAGUAGGUUGUCGCCAGGU